UUGCUCCUCUUCCCUUCGUUCCGUUGAAUGUUGUUCUGGUUCUUUCUGAUUUUCCUCAACUUCAGUAACCACAGGUUCACCUUUUACUGUUUCUGUAGGCUCAACUUCAGUAGCCACAGGUUCUUCUUUUACCGUUUCUGUAGCUUGAACUUCAGUAGCCACAGGUUCUUCUUUUACCAUUUCUCUAGGAUCAACUUCAGUAACCACAGGUUUGACUUUUACUGAUUCUGUCAGAUCAACUUCAGUAACCAGGGGUUCUUUUACUGUUUUUGUAAUUUCAACUUCUGUAGCCACAGCUUCUUCUUUUACUGUCUCUGUAGGAUCAACUUCAGUAACUAUAGGUUCGUCUUUUACCGUUUCUGUUGCCUCGAAUUCAGUAGCUGCAGGUUCAUCUUUUACCAUUUCUGUAGGCUCAACUACAGUUGUCACAGGUUCUUCUUUUACGGUUUCUGUAGCUUCAACUUCAGUAGCCACAGAUUCUUCUUUUACUGUUUCUGUAGCUUCAACUUCAGUAGCCACUGGUUCUUCUUUUACUGUUUCUGUAGCUUCAACUUCAGUAGCCACUGGUUCUUCUUUUACUGUUUCUGUAGCUUCAACUUCAGUAGCUGCAGGUUCGUCUUUUACCGUUUCUGUAGCCUCAACUUCAGUUGCCACAGGUUCUUCUUUUACCGUUUCUGUAGGCUCAACUUCAGUAGCCACGGGUUCUUCUUUUACUGUUUCUGUAGCUUCAGCUUCAGUAGCUAGAGGUUCUUCUUUUACCGUUUCUGUAGGAUCAACUUCAGUAACCACAGGUUCGUCUUUUACGGUUUCUGUAACCUUAACUUCAGUAGCUGCAGGUUCUUCUUUUACUGUUUCCGUAGCCUCAACUUCAGUAGCCACAAGUUCUUCUUUUAGUGUUUCUGUAGCCUCAACUUCAGUAACCACGGGUUCUUCUUUUACUAUCUCUGCAGUCGCAACUUCGGUAACCAUGGGUUCUUCUUUCACUGUUUCUGUAGGCUCCACUUCGAUGAUUUUGGUCUCUUCCGAUAUCGCUGCUGCUGUCUUCUCCUCAUUGGCCUCGACUGUAGAUUCAACAAUUGCAAUUGCUUUUGGUUG
rnacentral:lncRNA from 1 species